rnacentral:lncRNA from 1 species
AAAAAUUGAGGACCCCGCACACAAAUAACCCAUUUCAAGAAAACGCACGGAUCCCCCUGGAGCGGGUCGGAUCGCGCGCGGGUUAUAGGGGUUAAAACGACGCCGUUUAGUUAUGUAUUAAAGCUAAGAAAAAAACCCUAAAAACAUUUUAAACAGCUACCAAAAAAAGAAAAAAAUGGAAGAGAGCAUCCUCUGGUCCAAAGCCACACGAAGUCCGGCUAGGGCUCUG